GACGAACGCUGGCGGCGUGCUUAACACAUGCAAGUCGAACGGAAAGGCCCUGCUUUUGUGGGGUGCUCGAGUGGCGAACGGGUGAGUAACACGUGAGUAACCUGCCCUUGACUUUGGGAUAACUUCAGGAAACUGGGGCUAAUACCGGAUAGGAGCUCCUGCUGCAUGGUGGGGGUUGGAAAGUUUCGGCGGUUGGGGAUGGACUCGCGGCUUAUCAGCUUGUUGGUGGGGUAGUGGCUUACCAAGGCUUUGACGGGUAGCCGGCCUGAGAGGGUGACCGGCCACAUUGGGACUGAGAUACGGCCCAGACUCCUACGGGAGGCAGCAGUGGGGAAUAGUGCACAAUGGGCGGAAGCCUGAUGCAGCAACGCCGCGUGCGGGAUGACGGCCUUUGGGUUGUAAACCGCUUUCGCCUGUGACGAAGCGUGAGUGACGGUAAUGGGUAAAGAAGCACCGGCUAACUACGUG
rnacentral:rRNA from 1 species